rnacentral:lncRNA from 1 species
AACUAUCAAGCAUUCCGUUGUUUUCUACACCUCCCCCGUGAGCCGUGACUUUGUUUAUUCCAACCAUUCCAUUGUGCUCUCUUGACUCAUUCCAUCGGUUGGACAAAGGGAAACGCAUCUUCCUUGUAACUUGUGUUUUUUUUAAGAAAAAUAUAUACAACCAUCUUUUCAGCACAUGUGCACCCCAGUAUUUUGCGUGACAAGUGGACCUCUUCGCUUCAGCUUAUCAG